GGAAAAGGUGUUCCGACCGGGCGUGGAAGGACGUCACAGCACCUUCCCCUCCGGGCACUGGAGGGGUUUCUGUGAAAUGUAGUCCCCCUGCAGGGGCCUAGAAAAGACUGGAGCGCGGAAAGGGGAUAGACCAGGAUGCAUGUGACAUCUGAACUGAGUGUAAGCCCAACAGGUAUUCAGAGCUACAGUAUGGCUUGAACAUGGUAGGAGAGUGGAAGAAGAUAAAACCAGAGAGCUCCAAAUGGAAUUGAUCUGGAAGAAGAUGAGACAAGCAGAGAAGGAGGAAGUAUGCCAAAAUUUAAG